ensembl:lncRNA
UUUGUUUACAGCACCAGAUAACCCAAACUACUCCCUAUAUCGCCAUUUAUUCAGGUUUGGGAUUUAUUUAUUUAUUUAAUUAUUUAUUUUUCCCACGCAUCUAUUCUGAACAGGCACGAUUUUUUUGAGCUGAUUUUCAGAUUUUACAGGAUGAACAACUGUUUACAGAACCAGUCAGGCAUUUCUAGAGAGAAUUCUUUUCUUAGCAAUUGGGUUAAGAAGUGAGGAUGCCUGGUGGGAUGGCUACUCUGACAGGAAUUAGUGUCUUAACCAGGAUCAAAGUGUGGAGUAAGAAAAUGCAGGAAAUGCUCAAGCCAGAGUCAGACAAGGAACUGAAGGGAAGGCAAAGAAAUACAUGUUCCCUAAAAUGCUGGUUGUUUUGGCUUAGCAAGUUUAGGGGGUUAAUUUUCUGAUAGUCCUUGGGAGAAACGUAGCAAUGUGAAGUAUGAAAAAACAACCAGCAGGAUUUGUCUUACUUAUCAGCUGUAAGCUGGGAAGAUUUUUGAGAGGAAUUCCAUUUAAAACUCUGACAUUCAAUAGGAUUUAUGGCUUAAAUUGAUAACAAUAUCUUGCCCACCUAAUAGAAAUGAAGAUUAUUGUUUCCUAUCUGCAGCAGUUAGUAUCUCAGUACCAUCUUGAGGAAAAUUCUAUUGGAAAUCUAUACUGGGGAAUAUUUCCUCUUGCGUGAAGGGUCCACCUGAGGGUUCUUAAGGAAAAGAAUAAACUAUGUACAGGGAGGUAAGGUCAGCAGAGAUCUGCUGCUGUUACUGUCACUGGGAAGGUUCAAGAUGGAAUGGAAGGAUUCCCUACCAUUUGAUUAGACAGUUCAAAUAUUUCUCUUUGAGUUCUAGAAAAAGAACCACCUUUAUAUAUAUGUAUAUGUGUGUGUGUGUGUAUGUACGUCAAGGGAAGUAUUUUAAAAUGGUUUCAGGCUUCCAAUGCAGUGAAUAUAUUUUCAUAAUGAAAUAAAAUAUAUUUCUCCAAGGAAUUUCACUGAUAUCCUCUGUAAGAAAACCUAGGAGUAGCUCUACUUACAGAAAAUAAAGGCAUUUUGUGAUGUAUUUUUAACUGACUAAUCUGUGGCUCUUGAUACUGAUUCAGAGAGGAAUCUAUUAAAUUCUCCUUAACCUGUUAAAAUUCCAUUGAUCCCAGAGGAUGUCUACAAAUGAUACUAUUGGCUCUAUGCUUUCCUUGGCACAUAAGCCUCCUGUGGUUUUGUGGUCAACAUAGCGCAGUGUAGAAAAGGAGGGGGAAAAUGCCAAAUUUUUUUGCUCUAUCUACUGUUUCUGCUCCCUUCUGAAAUCAGCAAUUUUAGUUUCCCAAUUUUC